GAUUCUGGCUCAGGAUGAACGCUGGCGGCGUGCCUAACACAUGCAAGUCGAACGGAGUAAUUAAGCGGAAGUUUCGGAUGGAAGCAUAGUACUAGUGGCGGACGGGUGAGUAACGCGUGGGCAACCUGCCCUGUACCGGGGGAUAACACUUAGAAAUAGGUGCUAAUACCGCAUAAGCGCACAGCUUCGCAUGAAGGUGUGUGAAAAAACUCCGGUGGUACAGGAUGGACCCGCGUCUGAUUAGCUAGUUGGUGGGGUAGAGGCCUACCAAGGCGACGAUCAGUAGCCGGCCUGAGAGGGUGACCGGCCACAUUGGGACUGAGACACGGCCCAAACUCCUACGGGAGGCAGCAGUGGGGAAUAUUGCACAAUGGGGGAAACCCUGAUGCAAGCGACGCUGCGUGAGUGAAGAAGUAUUUCGGUAUGUAAAGCUCUAUCAGCAGGGAAGAAAAUGACGGUACCUGACUAAGAAGCCCCGGCUAACUACGUGCCAGCCGCCGC
rnacentral:rRNA from 1 species